rnacentral:rRNA from 1 species
UACAGAGGGGGCAAGCGUUGUUCGGAAUUACUGGGCGUAAAGGGCGCGUAGGCGGCCCGCUAAGUCGAACGUGAAAUCCCCGGGCUCAACCCGGGAACUGCGUCCGAUACUGGUGGGCUUGAAUCCGGGAGAGGGAUGUGGAAUUCCAGGUGUAGCGGUGAAAUGCGUAGAUAUCUGGAGGAACACCGGUGGCGAAGGCGGCAUCCUGGACCGGUAUUGACGCUGAGGCGCGAAAGCCAGGGGAGCAAACGGG